rnacentral:rRNA from 1 species
ACGUAGGGGGCAAGCGUUGUCCGGAAUUAUUGGGCGUAAAGGGCGCGUAGGCUGCCUUGUAAGUCGGGAGUGAAAUGCCUGCUUUUAACGUGGGAAUUGCUUUGGAUACUGUCGGACUUGAGUGCAGGAGAGGUAAGUGGAAUUCCCGGUGUAGCGGUGAAAUGCGUAGAGAUCGGGAGGAACACCAGUGGCGAAGGCGACUUACUGGACUGUAACUGACGCUGAGGCGCGAAAGUGUGGGGAGCAAACAG